UCUUUCUUUUUUUUUUUUCUUUUUUUUUUUUUUUUUUUUUUUGGAUCUAUACCCAGUGUCAGGAUUGCUUGGUCAUACAAUAGUUGCAUUUUAAGUUUCUUGAAGAACCUCCUUACUGUUCCCCAUAGUGGUUGUACUAAUUUACAUUCCACCAACAGUGUGUGAGCGUUCCCCUUUCUCCACAUUCUUGCCAGCAUUUGUUAUUUUCUUUCUUUUCCGUAGUAGCCAUUUUGACUGGGGAGAUGGCUUCUCAUUGUGGUUUUGAUUUGCAUUUCCCUGACCAUUAAUAUUGUUGAACGUUUUUUAAUAUAGCUGUUGGCUAUUUGUAUGAAUAUUUUGGGAAAUAUUCUGACUUUUGCCUGUUCUUAAUUGGAUUAUUUGGUUUUUGCUAUUGAGUUUGAGUUCCUGUAUAUUCUGGUUAUUAAUCUCUCAUCUAAUGAAUAAUUUGCAAAUUUUUUUUCAAUUCUGUAGGUUGUUUCUUCACUUCAUUGAUUAUUUUCUUUGCUGUGCAGAAGCUUUCUAGCUUGAUAGAAUCUCUUGUUUCUAUAUUUCCUUUGAUUGCCUGUGCUUUUGAGGUCUUGCUCAAUAAAUAGUUGCCCAGCUUCAUGUCCUGAAGUGUUUCUCCAAUGUUUUCUUAUAGUAGUUUCAUGGUUUUAGGUCUUAUAUUUAAAUAUUUAAGCUGUUUUGAUAUAACUUUUGUAUAUAGUGAGAGAGAGGGGUCUAGUUUCUUUCUUUGGCAUAUGGCUAUACAGAUUUUCCUUUCUCCGUGUAUGUUCUUGGUGACUUUCUUGGAAAUCCAUGGACUGUAAAUAUGUGGAUUUGUUUCUAGGUUUUCUGUUCUCUUCCAUUCCAUCCAUCUAUGUGCCUGUUUUUAUGCUGUUUCCAUGCUUCUUUUGGUUAUUGUACUUUUAUAUAGCAUUUUGAAGUCAGGUAAUGUGAUGCCUCCAGCUUCAUUUUCUUUGUUCAGGAUGCUUUUGUUGUUCCAUACAAAUUUCAGGAUGGCUUUUUUCUUGUCAUGUGCAGAAUGUCAUUAAUAUUUUGAUACGGAUUAUGCUGAAAAUAUAGGUUGCUUUGAGUAGUAUCGUUUUAACUAUAUUCUAAUCUACAUGGAGUAUCUUUCCAGUUUAUUAUGUUCUCUUCAAUUUCUUUUAUCAGUGCCUUAUAGUUUUAAUUGUAGAGAGCUCACUUCUUUUGUUAAGUUUAGUUCUAGGUAUUUAUUUUUAAAUGU